ensembl:snoRNA
CAGCAUCCUUACAAAACCCCCCAGCUGCUGCUCGUGGCUGCUGGGACAAGAAAGGAUGCGAGAUGAACGUUAGAACCAUCCAAAACUGAGGGCUGUGUGUCCGUAGCUCUGAGUUAUUUCACCUCUAAGACAGAA